AAACAUAGAUAUCUACUUACUUAUUUAUCCGCCCGGGAACUACGAGCGUCAGCUUGAAACCCAAAGGACUUGGCGGUGCUUUAGAUCCACCUAGAGGAGCCUGUUCUAGAACCGAUGAUCCCCGUUAAACCUCACCUUUCCUUGUUCCUUUCCGCCUAUAUACCGCCGUCGUCAGCUUACUCUGUGAAGAAUAAGCAGUAAGCGCAAUCGGCACAGCCCAAAACGCCAGGUCGAGGUGUAGCGAAUGGAAAGGGAAGAAAUGGGCUACAUUCAAUAGUAAUAAUGCACACGGAUGGUGCUCUGAAAGAGGCACCUGAAGGAGGAUUUAGAAGUAAGCCGGGAAUAGAGUGCCCUGCUGAAACUGGCCCUGAAGCGCGUACACACCGCCCGUCACUCUCCCCGAAAAAAACACCAACCAUUUCUAAUAAACCAAAAUAAUAGAGGGGAGGCAAGUCGUAACAUGGUAAGUGUACCGGAAGGUGCACUUGG
rnacentral:rRNA from 1 species